rnacentral:rRNA from 1 species
AGUAGUAUUUAUUAGAUGGAAACCAACUGCUUCGGCAUGAUGUGGUGAUUCAUAAUAAGCUUGCGGAUCGCAUGGCUUUGCCGGCGAUGGAUCAUUCAAGUUUCUGCCCUAUCAGCUUUGACGGUACUGUAUUGGAGUACCGUGGCAGUAACGGGUAACGGAAAAUUAGGGUUUGACACCGGAGAGGGAGCCUGAGGAACGGCUACCACAUCUAAGGAAGGCAGCAGGCGCGUAAAUUACCCAAUCCUGACUCAGGGAGGUAGUGACACGAAAUAACGGGUCGGGGCAUUCGCCUCGGGAUUGCAAUGAAUCGAAUUUACACCCCUUAAUGAGGAUCAAUUGGAGGGCAAGUCUGGUGCCAGCAGCCGCGGUAAUUCCAGCUCCAAUAGCGUAUAUUAAAGUUGUUGCAGUUAAAAAGCUCGUAGUUUGAUUUCUGGACGGGCGCCAACACCCGCUUGUUUAGUGUGGAGGCGGCGCCCGCCCAUCCUUCUGUUAACGCCACCGGCAUUCGUUUGCUGGCGGCGGGCUCAGAUAUUUUACCUUGAUAAAAUUAGAGUGUUUCAGGCAGGCUUGCGC